UUGGCGCUGCGUUCCCCGACGGACAGCGAGCCCGGCCAAUGAGCGUGAGGCGCGGGGGGGGCGGGACGACACCGCGCUGCGUUUCCCGCCGUCCCCUCCCCCUCCCCCUCCGAGGCCGGGCCGGGGCUCGGCGGGGGCCGGGCCGGGCUCAUUAAUCAGGGGCUCGUUGUGGAUGCAGGCGGGGGCGAUGCCACCCAGGGCGGGAAGCCCGCCACAGAGAAAGCGGGUGCGGGGUUUGUGCUCCCGCCUCGCGCCCUACUAACUGGCCCCAGGCUUCCGCCGCGGAGGGGGAACGGGGGCGGGAGGUUGGAGCUGGUGCGGGGCGGCGGUCGGACCCCAGCAUCUGGGGUGGGCGCGCGGCGCAGGGCGGUGCCCGCUGUGGGUGGCAGGCGCGCGGCCCGGUUUGUUUACGAGCAUCGUUGCCCGCGAGCUCCCGGUCGAUGGCAGCUCAGUGCCCUUUCCCGGCGGCGAGCAGAGCGAGGGGCGCCCCGGAACCCGCCCCACCCUCCGCAGUCGUCCGCCCCCGCCCCCGGCCGUGGGCUCUUUCCGGGGCGUCAUCAGAGCCAUUCACUUGUCAGGUUCCCGGGAAGUGGAAGUCGCCUGUUCUGGAUGUAAUAGGAGAGAGGAGGAGGGCAUGCUGGCGUAGGAAAAUGCGGUUUCCAUAGUGCCGGGAAAGGGCGGGCCUGGGCGGGAGCGGGGAGCUGGGAGCGGGUGCUGGCGGGCGUCCUUCCCGCGCCCCGCGCCCUCACUGCUCCCGGCCCGCGCCCCAAACCUUGCUCACCCAGCACCCCGGCCAUGGGAGGGCGUCGCCGAACCUAAGAGCGCGGCCGCGGGCACAGCGCCAAGCCAAAGAUGCCCUUGAACUGCUGCUUUGAAUUUCUCUAUCUACGUGGCCUUUGUGACUUUCAAAGUUGAGGGCAAAUAAGCACCUGCAUGUCAUGUCUCCUCACUGACAGCGUGAGGGCCGCUAGGAAGGGCGAUGAUCCGAGUUCACAGAAGGCGGGAUUGGAAUCCUGAUCUGAAUGCGUAAACAAAACCCUUGCCCAUCUAGGGAGAAAGUAUCUAAAUGAAACAACUCAUGACCAGAGUUUAUCUUACAGUUUAACCUUGGUUAUUUUGUACUGAGUCCUGGAAGUUCACCGUGGAAUGCCCUGCAUAAUUUACGCAUCGUUAUUACAACUACAACGACAUGUUUAAGAAAAAUAAUUGCACGGUUUGAGUCUGAAGACCAUAGAUGCUUUACCCUUUGUUUAGACUGUGCCGUAAACCCCCUAAUGAUGGAUUUUGUGCCAAGAUAACCCAAGCCAAUGUUGGACCUGUUCUGUUUUUAGCGUGUGUACCGCUAGGAUUAUGAUUAUUGGUGAAUAGCCAAAGCUUGGGGGAAACCAUCCACAUAGUAAAUAUCAUCAUAAAAAUUAACCUCAAAAGGGUGUGUUGAAUUGGGUCUCCCAUCUUAAAAUCACACUCUUUUAAAACAAGAGAUCAGUAAAUGCCAUCGUUAGUGUCCGUCCGUGUGCAGAUGUGUGUGCUUGCACACCCUUGCACUCACACCCGUGCGUGUGCAAGCUGUGGUUGUGAGUGUGCCAAGCACACUGUCUUGUGGCCGCUGGCUUUUGUGCUUCUAUCACCAACCAUUAUCUCUAAAGCAGAAGAAACAGAACAACAAGACAGGAGCUUUUUUAUCUUGGAGCUUGAAGAAAAUGCGGCUCGAUUUCUAUUGAUUGUGAUAAUUUGCAUCCCAUUUUAUAAGACACAUAAAUGAGCCCGUGUGUUCUGUAACCUGAAAUAGCACAGGACGAGAAGCCACUACAUCAGUACCCAAUGCUUUCUUCUGAAAAAAGGCAUCUUUGCGCAUCCAUGUCAGACUUAGUGUUUAAAUUGGUUUGGAAGCUGUUUGGAUCUAUCUUCAGUACUAUGGCUUCAAAGAUAUGUCUGUAACCAUCAGUCCAUACUGUGGAGAAGCUUCCAACUCAUACAGAAGCAGGUGGGAAAGGGAGCUGAUGGGUAAAGUAUUAUAUUGUA
ensembl:lncRNA